rnacentral:rRNA from 1 species
AACAAACGCUGGCGGCGUGCCUAAUACAUGCAAGUCGAACGGGGUAGCAAUACCUAGUGGCGCACGGGUGAGUAAUACAUGGGUAAUCUGCCUCAAAGUUGGGGAUAACCUUCCGAAAGGAAGGCUAAUACCGAAUAAGACCACAUGAUCUGCGGAUCAAGAGGUCAAAGGUUUUUCGCUUUGAGAUGAGCCCAUGCGGGAUUAGCUAGUUGGUGAGGUAAUGGCUCACCAAGGCCACGAUCCCUAGCUGGUCUGAGAGGAUGAUCAGCCACACUGGAACUGAGAAACGGUCCUGACUCCUACGGGGGGCAGCAGUAGGGAAUAUUGCGCAAUGGGGGAAACCCUGACGCAGCGACGCCGCGUGAGUGAUGAAGGCCUUCGGGUCGUAAAGCUCUGUCGUAUGGGAAUAAUAAACUGAAUGUACCAUACAAGAAAGGAUCGGCUAACUUCGUGCCAGCCGCCGCCGUAA